rnacentral:RNase_P_RNA from 1 species
UGUGAAGGCUGGGUGAUCGCUCGAUGCUUCGGUGUCGAGAGGAAAGUCCGGACUCCAUGGGCAGGGCGCUGGGUAAUUCCCAGGCGGAGCGAUCCGACACCAGCACCACAGAAAACAAACCGCCGAUGGCCGAUGUGACGGGAUAUUCUCUUGAUCACUGAGGCUCAGGUAAGGGUGAAACGGUGGGGUAAGAGCCUACCGCGGUGGUGGCGACAUCACCGGCAGGGUAAGCGUCGCCCGGUGCAAGGCCAAAUAGGAAGACAUUUACGGGACGCCAUGUGCGUGUCGUAAGCCGACUGGCCCGGUCGAGGUCUUCGGGUAGGCUGCUUGAGGUUUGAGGUAACUCAAAUCCCAGAGAAAUGAUCAUCCCCGUGAAGCGGGCGACUGCUUUGCGGGACAGAAUCCGGCUUAUAGGCCUUCAUGUCCG